rnacentral:rRNA from 1 species
GAUGAACGCUGGCGGCGUGCCUAAUACAUGCAAGUCGAGCGAACGGACGAGAAGCUUGCUUUUCUGAUGUUAGCGGCGGACGGGUGAGUAACACGUGGAUAACCUACCUAUAAGACUGGGAUAACUUCGGGAAACCGGAGCUAAUACCGGAUAAUAUUUUGAACCGUAUGGUUCAUAAGUUAAAGACGGUCUUGCUGUCACUUAUAGAUGGAUCCGCGCUGCAUUAGUUAGUUGGUAAGGUAACGGCUUACCAAGGCAACGAUGCAUAGCCGACCUGAGAGGGUGAUCGGCCACACUGGAACUGAGACACGGUCCAGACUCCUACGGGAGGCAGCAGUAGGGAAUCUUCCACAAUGGGCGAAAGCCUGAUGGAGCAACGCCGCGUGAGUGAUGAAGGUCUUCGGAUCGUAAAACUCUGUUAUUGGGGAAGAACGUAUGUGUUAGUAACUGUGCACAUCGUGACGGUACCUAAUCAGAAAGCCACGGCUAACUACGUG